UUGGUGGCUGGAGGCAUUUAAAAAAAUCACCCUGGUCUUGCUUUUAACCCAUUUAAACAAAUACUUACACGUAUGCGUGGUAAAUGAAUGCCCAUCCUCUUGGUCUCUCCAAAACAUUGUAAAGAAAAUUCUGCAGUCUUCUGUAGAAUACAGUUCUCUUUGGAGGCUUGGGUUUGCCGGAGAGGCUGGAUCUCGGUUUGCUAAGGAUGCUGCCCCGUGUUGUUGCCUUGGCGUCCGCACCUGCUAUGAGCAGCGCCGCAUCUUUGUUUGAGUCCGUAGCCCCAGGUUCUAUCCCGACAAAGCCGACUUUGAGUUUUUUCUCCGCAGCUGGACCCGGGUAAACACCGCCGUUGCCGGAUUUCUUGACCAUUCUGCCGAAAUACUGUCAUGUGGAGCUUGGAGAUUUUUUCCGCCCUUUACCAGGUAACAUCAUCGCAGUGCUGGGCGUAUACAAUGAUUCGUAGAGCGCCGGAGACCCUGACUGUGCACGUUGCUGAGGCUACCCUGCCUUUCUGAGAAGCCAAUUGAAAUGCAGAGAAGAAUCUGCAAUGAACACAAUUCUCCUACCUCAGCGUCUUCCGGCCACCUGACAACAAAAAGGAAAUUAGAUUGGAUACAAAGCUGGUUGGAGAUGGUAACCAUGGAAACUAUGUAUGCCUCAUUCGCCAUCACCACUUCAGCUUCAGUACCUUGAGUGCCUCCAGUGACAGGAAGCCAAAGUGCGACAGGAAGAGGCGGGCCGUCUGGAACUCCUGCGAGGGAGUCGGGGGCUUGCAGUCCGUCAGCACGUCUGGGAAGCUCUUGCUGCUCCAGCGCUCCUCGCUGCCGUGCUCCAGCAUCGUCUCGUACUCGAUCUGCUUGGCCAUCACACCUCGCAGCUUGUCGUGCUGCAUCUCCAGCUGAGAGUGAGGAAUGGAUGAUGGUAUCGCCCCUUGACACUUAUCCAAGGUCAGUUUGACAUUUUUCACCCUCUAAAAAUGGUUAUGAUUAGAAGUGGCUGGUCCUAGAUUUGUGCCAAAGGUCAAUGGGAGAGGAUCCUAUGGCUGUUGCUCAUUCUGAUCUUCAUCUUAUAGUAGUAAGGACAAAUAGUAGUCAUUAUUGUAGAUACCCCCAAAAAGAGUGCCAUGUCAUUGCAUACAUCCAACGAAAUGUACCCAUACACAGACAAUCCCCUCCUCAAAGCACCUCACAAAACAUCAAACACCCACAACCACUCAUCUGACACGAAUGAACCAUCAACGCAGACAAACCUUCUAAUAACACCCAAUAAACUCACAAAAUCAAUACAGUGCGCACCCAAUCCCAACACCUUUUCACUCCCAAGGUCAUAGUCAAACUGGAAAAUACUGAGGAGUAACCAAUAUCAGCUGGCUCUGAUAAAGAGCAAAAGGUUUGGUGGUAGGUGAUGUUAGUGAAUCAUGUCACGUUUUGUGUGUGAGGACAACUCGUGUCCGGAUCACUGUACAUCACUGUAGUAGCUAUGUGUCAUGAAGUGUUUGGCUUGUCAGUUGAGAAUAUAUAUUUUUUCUUCUGUCAGGCAGACACUUGUUCAUUGAAGUAGACAAGUUCACAGAGAAUGAUAGCCUACAUUUUGUUGAACAUUAAAUGAGCUAGUUGUCCUAGUUGUGCAAAGUGGAUUCAGGUGUCCCAUCACUCCUAUGGGGCCAAAGCGGUGCUGAUCAGUUUUGACUAAAAAAUAAAUAACAGGGGGGACCUUGAAUCUAGAUAAGCACUCCUAUUUUGAGUCACUUUGUAAAUACAGGAAAUGGCUGAUGCAAACACCACCUCCACGCUACAAUACAAUUGUCAUUAGGGCAAUGGAGACAUUAUUCUAAUAAGGAUGGACAAACAAUGCCAGCCUACCUCCUUAUCUACGAUAUCGUGUAGGUCCGGAAUGCUCAGGUCUGCUUUCACAAAUGGAAUUUUAUCCACUUCUUCUGGGAAGGGUCUGUGUUUGACGUUCAACCGGAUCCCCACAUCAUUUUUGGGAGUGGGCCGACUCUCUGGGAUAAACACCUGCUACAGAGAGGAUGAGAUACUUCUGAUGAGAUACAGACCCCUGGGAAAGGAACUGGGAAAACUCAGCAAGAAACAUGGACUGACAUGUGAUCAUUUAGCAUUGUUAAAGGUCUACGAUAAACAUCUGAUGAAUAUCAAUUCCCUAAUGCAAACAUUUUUCCCCAAAUAGAUCUGGAACCAGCAAUCAUAGUUAACAUUGAAUGAGAUUAGAGAUCAUUUGUUCAUUACAGCAAUGUGAAAACCUGGUUCCUAACAAUGGAGUUGCUAGUUAAUAAGACAUCAAUGUGAACCUUGACUCUAAUAGAAAUGUGCUGAAACAUACUAACAUAAUUUAUAUAAAGGGUUAACUACGGUGUGUGCUACCUUGUGACUGGCGAGUAAUAGAAAUGUACGGAAACGUAUCAAGAUAACAAAUCUAAAGGGUUAACUAAAGUUGCGUGUUACCUUCUGGCUGGCACGGGCCCCCCUGGGUUGGUGGAAGAGCUGCAUGGUCCAGGCGUGUCUCCCAGACAUCCCCCUUAUCAACAUGGUCACGGAUGGACAGGGAUCUGCUGACACACACACACACACACACACACACACACACACACACACACACACACACACACACACACACACACACACACACACACACACACACACACACACACACACACACACACACACACACACACACACACACACACACACACACACACACGUCAACAAGGUUGUGGUCAUUAGGCACAAAACAGAAGAGAUUGGACAUGUCCAAUGAGAAACUCCAAUUUUCGUUUUAUAGUGCAAAACCACUUUUAAACGUUUAAAAUGUUAAUAAACAUGAGGAUGAUGACUGAUAACAUGCGGAUGACGACUGUCAAAAUGGUUCUGGGAUAACACGUGAAGGAUUGCCAAUAAUAUGUCAAAUAUAUUUGUUGAAGUGGAUUUGGGAUAACAUAACUGACUCUGUUCGUUGCCCAGCGGCUGCUCCAGCAUGGCCAGGAUGACAGAGUUGUCUAGGACAAAGUAGCGGAAGUUCUUGCGGCUGGUAGAGGUCAGCCUGGAGUACUUUAUCAGGGUGUCCUCGUUCAGCAGGCUGCAGGGGGAGGCGGGGCCACUGGGCGACGGGAACGCCCCCAGGACCUGCAUUAUGCUGACAGGGACAGAGAUGUUGUGCAUUCAAAAUAUAUACGAGGCAGGAAUCACCGCUAUAAAACAUUCCAAAAGCAGAAUUGUAUGAGUAUGAAUAAAAAUAGCAACCCUGAACUAAGGGGAUAAGAAUACAGGUUUGGUCAAAUAAAAAAAUAUGAAUGGUUGAAAAGAACUUAAAAGCUACAGUAUGCAUUUGGUACAUACAUUUUUUAAAAACUUUUAAAUUAAUAAUAUAUAGCCAUAGAUUCUUGAAAAAAUAUAACUUAUAAUUGCUUCAUGAGCUUAGUUCAACUGUCUUACCCAAACAGAACCCAAAAUACA